rnacentral:rRNA from 1 species
AGAGUUUGAUCCUGGCUCAGGAUGAACGCUAGCGGCAGGCCUAACACAUGCAAGUCGAGGGGUAACGAUGAUUUAGCUUGCUAAAUCAGGCGACGACCGGCGCACGGGUGAGUAACGCGUAUGAAACCCCUGUACUGGGGGAUAGCCCGGAGAAAUCCGGAUUAAUACCCCAUAACAUCUAGAUGCUGCAUGGUAUUUAGAUUAAAACUCCGGUGGUACAGGAUGGUCAUGCGUGACAUUAGCUAGUUGGUAGGGUAACGGCUUACCAAGGCGACGAUGUCUAGGGGUUCUGAGAGGAUUAUCCCCCACACUGGUACUGAGACACGGACCAGACUCCUACGGGAGGCAGCAGUGAGGAAUAUUGGUCAAUGGGCGAAAGCCUGAACCAGCCAUGCCGCGUGCAGGGAGACUGCCCUAUGGGUUGUAAACUGCUUUUGUACGGGAAUAAUGAUAGCUACGUGUAGUUGUUUGAAUGUACCGUAAGAAUAAGCAUCGGCUAACUCCGUGCCAGCAGCCGCGGUAAUACGGAGGAUGCAAGCGUUAUCCGGAUUUAUUGGGUUUAAAGGGUACGUAGGCGAAGUUUAAGUCAGUGGUGAAAGUCUGCAGCUUAACUGUAGAAUUGCCAUUGAUACUGAAUUUCUUGAGUGCGGUUGAGGUAGGCGGAAUGUGUAAUGUAGCGGUGAAAUGCUUAGAUAUUACACAGAACACCGAUUGCGUAGGCAGCUUACUAAGCCGUAACUGACGCUGAGGUACGAAAGCGUGGGGAGCGAACAGGAUUAGAUACCCUGGUAGUCCACGCCGUAAACGAUGAUCACUCGCUGUUGGCGACACAUAGUCAGCGGCCAAGCGAAAGCAUUAAGUGAUCCACCUGGGGAGUACGCCGGCAACGGUGAAACUCAAAGGAAUUGACGGGGGCCCGCACAAGCGGUGGAACAUGUGGUUUAAUUCGAUGAUACGCGAGGAACCUUACCUGGGCUUAAAUGUAGAGUGCAUGUUCUGGAAACAGGACUUUCCUUCGGGACUCUUUACAAGGUGCUGCAUGGUUGUCGUCAGCUCGUGCCGUGAGGUGUCGGGUUAAGUCCCAUAACGAGCGCAACCCUUAUCGUUAGUUGCCAUCAGGUCAAGCUGGGGACUCUAACGAAACUGCCGGUGUAAACCGAGAGGAAGGUGGGGAUGACGUCAAAUCAGCACGGCCCUUAUGUCCAGGGCUACACACGUGUUACAAUGGUCGGUACAAAGGGCAGCUACUUGGCAACAAGAUGCAAAUCCCUAAAACCGGUCUCAGUUCGGAUUGAAGUCUGCAACUCGACUUCAUGAAGCUGGAAUCGCUAGUAAUCGCGCAUCAGCCAUGGCGCGGUGAAUACGUACCCGGGCCUUGUACACACCGCCCGUCAAGCCAUGGAAGCUGGGGGUACCUGAAGUCUGUAACCGCAAGGAGCGGCCU